rnacentral:lncRNA from 1 species
AUAUUAUGAGAAAAUCCAGGUCAAUGUAAUCUCUCCAAAAUCAUCUCUCAUUGCUUUCCUGAUAGGAACACUGUUUCCUUACAUGCUGGGAGACAUUUUCCAGGGAGAAGUCUCAAACAGAUGUUACAUCCCAUGGUGACUCUACAAGGGAAAAAACUUCACUUCUUUCAGAAUAUUGUAUAACUCUGGCUUGUCAUUGGUACAGUUUCUCUGUUGGCUACCUUGAGCUUGAAGACUUUUUGAAGGUAAAUCUUUAU